GCUGUGAUGGGGAGCGAAAUUUAGUAGCGAAGCGUCUGAUGUCACACUGCCGAGAAAAGCUUCUAGUGAGUACUUAACUACCCGUACCGCAAACCGACACAGGUAGUCGAGGAGAGAAUCCUAAGGUGAGCGAGUGAACUCUCGUUAAGGAACUCGGCAAAAUGACCCCGUAACUUCGGGAGAAGGGGUGCUGAUCGCAAGAUCAGCCGCAGUGAAUAGGCCCAGGCGACUGUUUAUCAAAAACACAGGUCUCUGCAAAAUCGUAAGAUGACGUAUAGGGGCUGACGCCUGCCCGGUGCUGGAAGGUUAAAAGGAUGGGUUAGCUUCGGCGAAGCUCAGAAUUGAAGCCCCAGUAAACGGCGGCCGUAACUAUAACGGUCCUAAGGUAGCGAAAUUCCUUGUCGGGUAAGUUCCGACCCGCACGAAAGGCGUAACGAUCUGGGCACUGUCUCAACGAGAGACUCGGUGAAAUUAUAUUGUCCGUGAAGAUGCGGACUACCCGCGACAGGACGGAAAGACCCCAUGGAGCUUUACUGUAGCUUGAUAUUGAGUGUUUGUACAGCUUGUACAGGAUAGGUAGGAGCCAUAGAAACCGGAACGCUAGUUUCGGUGGAGGCGUUGGUGGGAUACUACCCUCGCUGUAUGACCACUCUAACCCGCACCACUAAUCGUGGUGGGAGACAGUGUCAGGUGGGCAGUUUGACUGGGGCGGUCGCCUCCUAAAAAGUAACGGAGGCGCCCAAAGGUUCCCUCAGAAUGGUUGGAAAUCAUUCGCAGAGUGUAAAGGCACAAGGGAGCUUGACUGCGAGACAGACAGGUCGAGCAGGGACGAAAGUCGGGCUUAGUGAUCCGGUGGUACCGUAUGGAAGGGCCAUCGCUCAACGGAUAAAAGCUACCCUGGGGAUAACAGG
rnacentral:rRNA from 1 species